UAGCAUGGGGUGCAAACGUUGCUCGGAAUUAUUGGGCGUAAAGCGCACGUAGGCGGUUCGUUAAGUCGGAUGUGAAAGCCCUCGGCUCAACUGAGGAAGUGCACCCGAAACUGGCGAGCUUGAGUACGAAAGAGGAUCGCGGAAUUCCCGGUGUAGAGGUGAAAUUCGUAGAUAUCGGGGAGGAACACCGGUGGCGAAGGCGGCGAUCUGGGUCGAUACUGACGCUGAGGUGCGAAAGCGUGGGGAGCAAACAGG
rnacentral:rRNA from 1 species